rnacentral:rRNA from 1 species
UCAAGCUACAAAGAGCUUAAGGUGAAUGCCUUGGCACUGGGAGCCGAAGAAGGACGUGGCAAGCUGCGAAAAGCUGCGGGGAGUUGCAAGCAAACAUUGAUCCGCAGAUGUCCGAAUGGAGCAAUCCACAUAGGGUAACGCCUAUGUAUCAUACAGUGAAUCCAUAGCUGUAUGAGGGGAACCGCCUGAACUGAAACAUCUAAGUAGGGCGAGGAAGAGAAAUCAAACGAGAUUCCGCUAGUAGUGGCGAGCGAACGCGGAAGAGGCCAAACUGAGAGCAGCAAUGUUCUCAGGGUUAGGACUGCAUUUAGCAUUGACAAAGGUUAGCUGAACUGCAUGGGAAGGCAGACUGGAAAGGGUGAGAGUCCCGUAAGCGAAAACCAAAGUCAGCGAGCAGUAUCCAGAGUACCGCAAGACACGUGAAACCUUGUGGGAAGAUGGGGGGACCACCCUCCAAGCCUAAAUACUACCCAGUGACCGAUAGUGCAGAGUACUGUGAAGGAAAGGUGAAAAGGACCCCGGGAGGGGAGUGAAAUAGAACCUGAAACCCUAAGCUUACAAGCACCGAGAGCACGUCAAAGUGUGAUCGGGUACUUUUUGUAGAACGGUCCGGCGAGCGUAUGUACGUAGCAAGGUUAAGUUCUUCAGGAACGGAGCCGAAGCGAGAGCAAGUCUGAAUAGGGCGUCAAGUUACGUGCAUAGGGCCCGAAACCGGGUGACCUAUCCAUGUCCAGGCUGAAGUUGGGGUAAGACCCAAUGGAGGGCCGAACCGACCUCCGUUGAAAAGGCGGCGGAUGAGGUGUGGAUAGCGGAGAAAUUCCAAUCGAACCCGGAGAUAGCUGGUUCUCCCCGAAAUAGCUUUAGGGCUAGCGUUGUAUAUCAUUACCGGAGGUAAAGCACUGAAUGGCCUAGGGCCCUAACGGGUACCGAAGCCUAUCAAACUAAGAAUGCCGGAUAAUGUGAGUACAGCAGUCAGACUAUGGGAGAUAAGUUUCAUGGUCAAAAGGGAAACAGCCCAGACCCACAGCUAAGGUCCCAAAUAUGAUUUAAGUGGAAAACGAUGUGGAGUUGCGAAAACAACCAGGAUGUUGGCUUAGAAGCAGCCACUCAUUCAAAGAGUGCGUAAUAGCUCACUGGUCGAGUGACUCUGCGCGGAAAAUUCAACGGGGCUAAAAUCAUAACCGAAGCUUGGGAUGCAAUUAAUGCAUGGUAGGGGAGCGUUGUGUAAGGGGUGAAGUCACAGCGGAAGCGGUGGUGGACAUUACACAAGUGAGAAUGCCGGAAUGAGUAGCGCGAAUUAUGUGAGAAUCAUAAUGGCCGAAAGUCUAAGGUUUUUGGAGGAAGGUUCGUCCGCUCCAAGUUAGUCGGGAGCUAAGGUGAGGCCGAAAGGCGUAGCCGAUGCACAUACGGUAGAAAUUCCGUAACCGUCGAAGUAUUUAAGCAAAGGGACACUUUGGGAAGGUACAAGCCAGGCGUUGGUAGCCCUGGCCGUAAGGGACUGAAAAUUAGUAGGGAAGUGUACUGGAACAGAGGCGAGAAAAGCUUUGUGUAUAUACAAGACGCCCGUACCGCAAACCGACACAGGUAGAUGGGAAGAGAAUUCUAAGGCCAACGGGAGAAGGGUUGUUAAGGAACUCGGCAAGUUGACCCCGUAACUUCGGAAGAAGGGGUGCUCUGGAAACAGAGCCGCAGAGAAUAGGUCCAGGCGACUGUUUAGCAAAAACACAGCUCUAUGCUAAAUCGAAAGAUGAUGUAUAUGGGGUGACACCUGCCCGGUGCUGGAAGGUUAAGAGGAGAUGUGCAAGCAUUGAAUUGAAGCCCCAGUAAACGGCGGCCGUAACUAUAACGGUCCUAAGGUAGCGAAAUUCCUUGUCAGGUAAGUUCUG